CCUACGGGGGGCUGCAGUGGGGAAUAUUGGACAAUGGGGGCAACCCUGAUCCAGCCAUGCCGUGUGUGUGAAGAAGGCCCUCGGGUUGUAAAGCACUUUCAGUGAGGAAGAACGCCUGGUGGUUAAUACCCAUCAGGAAAGACAUCACUCACAGAAGAAGCACCGGCUAACUCCGUGCCAGCAGCCGCGGUAAUACGGAGGGUGCGAGCGUUAAUCGGAAUUACUGGGCGUAAAGCGCGCGUAGGUGGCUUGAUAAGCCGGUUGUGAAAGCCCCGGGCUCAACCUGGGAACGGCAUCCGGAACUGUCAAGCUAGAGUGCAGGAGAGGAAGGUAGAAUUCCCGGUGUAGCGGUGAAAUGCGUAGAGAUCGGGAGGAAUACCAGUGGCGAAGGCGGCCUUCUGGACUGACACUGACACUGAGGUGCGAAAGCGUGGGUAGCAAACAGGAUUAGAUACCCGUGUAGUC
rnacentral:rRNA from 1 species